GCGGGUUUUUGUUGUUUGCUUCGGCCUCGUAAAGCGAUUCGGUACGAUUGCUAGAUGUUUAAAGUAGUCAAACCUCCAUGUACCACAUAGCGAUCUCCUGAAUCCAAAGCCAUGAUAGCUAAAGGACACUCGUGUUCUUCCUGCUGCUCUUCCGGCUCCCUCAGGGAGCCAGAAGGAUGUGGUGCCCGUUAGCCUGGGACCUUCCAGCACUAGUAGCUGUAUUGAAAGAAACUUUGGCUUUCUUCCUCUGCCACACUACAAAGUGAAACUGCUGCUGCUGGUUUUACCGUCAGACAGAUGCUGAGUGUUAAAGGAAGAAGAAAUGAUCAGAAUUGGCAAUGAAUGUUUGUGGGAGUGAGGCUGAUUAGCUUGUGGUCCUUUGAGACAUCUGGGGUCAGCCAUCUAGGUAUGGUUUCCCAGACCCCUCACGUAUAGAAGGAUGCACUUGGCAAGGAGAAAAUGUGCAGUGAUUGGAAAGGCAGCAGUGGUGACAAAAGGCCACUCUCAGCUCUGCAGCAUCUGCUGGCAGUUUGGUGCUGACUGCUACCUUUGUUUCUGAGCUGUGAGUCACAGACAGUGGGUGGAAGCCGUGGAAGCAGGAGGCCCAUGCUUCUGUUGGCUACCCUGAGCACAAACGACUUUCUUGUUGCACUGAGCAAGCAGCAGUGCUGUAGUGUUCCAGCUCCUGCUGACACAGUUGCUAAUUCUUACUUGUCUACUGAGACGGAGCAGUGCUCUUGGGAAAUGUUUUCUCUGGUUUUGUGCUCUAGGUUUGCAGACAAGUGGUAGGCAUUGUGAGGCUAGCAUCAAAUAUCACCCCUUUGUUUUAGUUUGCAGAUAGACAACAUGGUUGGUGGAUUUAAGUUAGUGAAGUUCGUGACUGUAAUCAUAUACAGGAGUCUUGCCUUUAGAAGCUGAAAAUCAGGGUUCAAAGCACAACAGCACGUAGCAUCUGACAUCUUCACUAUC
rnacentral:lncRNA from 1 species